rnacentral:rRNA from 1 species
UUAAGCGACUAAGCGUACACGGUGGAUGCCCUGGCAGUCAGAGGCGAUGAAGGACGUGCUAAUCUGCGAAAAGCGUCGGUAAGGUGAUAUGAACCGUUACAGCCGGCGAUGUCCGAAUGGGGAAACCCAGUGCAAUUCGUUGCACUAUCGUUAACUGAAUACAUAGGUUAACGAGGCGAACCGGGGGAACUGAAACAUCUAAGUACCCCGAGGAAAAGAAAUCAACCGAGAUUCCCCCAGUAGCGGCGAGCGAACGGGGAGCAGCCCAGAGUCUGAAUCAGCUUGUGUGUUAGUGGAACGGUCUGGAAAGUCCGACGGUACAGGGUGAUAGUCCCGUACACCAAAAUGCACAGGUUGUGAACUCGAAGAGUAGGGCGGGACACGUGGUAUCCUGUCUGAAUAUGGGGGGACCAUCCUCCAAGGCUAAAUACUCCUGACUGACCGAUAGUGAACCAGUACCGUGAGGGAAAGGCGAAAAGAACCCCGGCGAGGGGAGUGAAAAAGAACCUGAAACCGUGUACGUACAAGCAGUGGGAGCACCUUCGGGUGUGACUGCGUACCUUUUGUAUAAUGGGUCAGCGACUUAUAUUCUGUAGCAAGGUUAACCGUAUAGGGGAGCCGCAGGGAAACCGAGUCUUAACUGGGCGUUAAGUUGCAGGGUAUAGACCCGAAACCCGGUGAUCUAGCCAUGGGCAGGUUGAAGGUUGGGUAACACUAACUGGAGGACCGAACCGACUAAUGUUGAAAAAUUAGCGGAUGACUUGUGGCUGGGGGUGAAAGGCCAAUCAAACCGGGAGAUAGCUGGUUCUCCCCGAAAGCUAUUUAGGUAGCGCCUCGUGAACUCAUCUUCGGGGGUAGAGCACUGUUUCGGCUAGGGGGUCAUCCCGACUUACCAACCCGAUGCAAACUACGAAUACCGAAGAAUGUUAUCACGGGAGACACACGGCGGGUGCUAACGUCCGUCGUGAAGAGGGAAACAACCCAGACCGCCAGCUAAGGUCCCAAAGUCAUGGUUAAGUGGGAAACGAUGUGGGAAGGCACAGACAGCCAGGAUGUUGGCUUAGAAGCAGCCAUCAUUUAAAGAAAGCGUAAUAGCUCACUGGUCGAGUCGGCCUGCGCGGAAGAUGUAACGGGGCUAAACCAUGCACCGAAGCUGCGGCAGCGACACUAUGUGUUGUUGGGUAGGGGAGCGUUCUGUAAGCCUGCGAAGGUGUGCUGUGAGGCAUGCUGGAGGUAUCAGAAGUGCGAAUGCUGACAUAAGUAACGAUAAAGCGGGUGAAAAGCCCGCUCGCCGGAAGACCAAGGGUUCCUGUCCAACGUUAAUCGGGGCAGGGUGAGUCGACCCCUAAGGCGAGGCCGAAAGGCGUAGUCGAUGGGAAACAGGUUAAUAUUCCUGUACUUGGUGUUACUGCGAAGGGGGGACGGAGAAGGCUAUGUUAGCCGGGCGACGGUUGUCCCGGUUUAAGCAUGUAGGCUGGUUGUCCAGGCAAAUCCGGAUAAUCAAGGCUGAGGUGUGAUGACGAGGCACUACGGUGCUGAAGUAACAAAUGCCCUGCUUCCAGGAAAAGCCUCUAAGCAUCAGGUAACAUCAAAUCGUACCCCAAACCGACACAGGUGGUCAGGUAGAGAAUACCAAGGCGCUUGAGAGAACUCGGGUGAAGGAACUAGGCAAAAUGGUGCCGUAACUUCGGGAGAAGGCACGCUGGUGUGUAGGUGAAGUCCCUGCGGAUGGAGCUGAGACCAGUCGAAGAUACCAGCUGGCUGCAACUGUUUAUUAAAAACACAGCACUGUGCAAACACGAAAGUGGACGUAUACGGUGUGACGCCUGCCCGGUGCCGGAAGGUUAAUUGAUGGGGUUAUCCGUAAGGAGAAGCUCUUGAUCGAAGCCCCGGUAAACGGCGGCCGUAACUAUAACGGUCCUAAGGUAGCGAAAUUCCUUGUCGGGUAAGUUCCGACCUGCACGAAUGGCGUAAUGAUGGCCAGGCUGUCUCCACCCGAGACUCAGUGAAAUUGAACUCGCUGUGAAGAUGCAGUGUACCCGCGGCAAGACGGAAAGACCCCGUGAACCUUUACUAUAGCUUGACACUGAACAUUGAGCCUUGAUGUGUAGGAUAGGUGGGAGGCUUUGAAGCGUGGACGCCAGUCUGCGUGGAGCCAACCUUGAAAUACCACCCUUUAAUGUUUGAUGUUCUAACGUUGGCCCCUGACCGGGGUUGCGGACAGUGUCUGGUGGGUAGUUUGACUGGGGCGGUCUCCUCCCAAAGCGUAACGGAGGAGCACGAAGGUUAGCUAAUCCUGGUCGGACAUCAGGAGGUUAGUGCAAUGGCAUAAGCUAGCUUGACUGCGAGCGUGACGGCGCGAGCAGGUGCGAAAGCAGGUCAUAGUGAUCCGGUGGUUCUGAAUGGAAGGGCCAUCGCUCAACGGAUAAAAGGUACUCCGGGGAUAACAGGCUGAUACCGCCCAAGAGUUCAUAUCGACGGCGGUGUUUGGCACCUCGAUGUCGGCUCAUCACAUCCUGGGGCUGAAGUAGGUCCCAAGGGUAUGGCUGUUCGCCAUUUAAAGUGGUACGCGAGCUGGGUUUAGAACGUCGUGAGACAGUUCGGUCCCUAUCUGCCGUGGGCGCUGGAGAAUUGAGGGGGGCUGCUCCUAGUACGAGAGGACCGGAGUGGACGCAUCACUGGUGUUCGGGUUGUCAUGCCAAUGGCACUGCCCGGUAGCUAAAUGCGGAAGAGAUAAGUGCUGAAAGCAUCUAAGCACGAAACUUGCCCCGAGAUGAGUUCUCCCUGAGACUUUAAGUCUCCUGAAGGAACGUUGAAGACGACGACGUUGAUAGGCCGGGUGUGUAAGCGCAGCGAUGCGUUGAGCUAACCGGUACUAAUGAACCGUGAGGCUUAACCUU